rnacentral:rRNA from 1 species
GACAGAGGGUGCAAACGUUGUUCGGAAUUACUGGGCGUAAAGCGAGUGUAGGCUGUCCUCUAAGUCGGGUGUGAAAGCCCAGGGCUCAACCCUGGAAGUGCACUCGAAACUGGACGGCUUGAAUAUGGAAGAGGGUCGCGGAAUUCCCGGUGUAGAGGUGAAAUUCGUAGAUAUCGGGAGGAACACCCGUGGCGAAGGCGGCUCUCUGGGACGGUACUGACGCUGAGACGCGAAAGCGUGGGGAGCGAACAGG